rnacentral:rRNA from 1 species
GAUGAACGCUGGCGGCGUGCCUAAUACAUGCAAGUCGAGCGAAUGGAUUAAGAGCUUGCUCUUAUGAAGUUAGCGGCGGACGGGUGAGUAACACGUGGGUAACCUGCCCAUAAGACUGGGAUAACUCCGGGAAACCGGGGCUAAUACCGGAUAACAUUUUGAACCGCAUGGUUCGAAAUUGAAAGGCGGCUUCGGCUGUCACUUAUGGAUGGACCCGCGUCGCAUUAGCUAGUUGGUGAGGUAACGGCUCACCAAGGCAACGAUGCGUAGCCGGCCUGAUGGGGUGAUCGGCCACACUGGGACUGAGACACGGCCCAGACUCCUACGGGAGGCAGCAGUAGGGAAUCUUCCGCAAUGGACCAAAGUCUGACGGAGCAACGCCGCGUGAGUGAUGAAGGCUUUCGGGUCGUAAAACUCUGUUGUUAGGGAAGAACAAGUGCUAGUUGAAUAAGCUGGCACCUUGACGGUACCUAACCAGAAAGCCACGGCUAACUACGUGCCAGCCGCCGCGGUAA